GUGCUAGCUGUGGAGAGAAACACGUUUAUUAUAAGUAAACAAAAUUAAAUUUAUAAUUACAUCUUAUUGUUUGUAAAUUGUAAAUUGUGUUGCAUGAAAAAAAAAAAAUGUAAUCGAAGUUACAACAUUUGAAUUUUAUUUCUUGUUGUAAAUUUAUAAAUAAGUGCCAAGGUGAAAUAAAUUUGAUUGCGAUUUGCGAACCGGGAGCCUAUGACAUUGUAUAAUGUACGACAUUCUCUCGUAAUCAGAAAGCUCAUAAGAAUGCGGUAAAAGAAAGUGAGCAAUGUAGCCAGUUAAAUAAAUCUGUAUUUUAUGGUAACCAGGGAGACGGUGGCGCAGUUUGAAAUAUGUGGAAAUCCUUCUAAAAUGUAAAAAAAAAAAAGUUACCUGUAUAAAUAAUAAUAUACGAUUAUUAAAUCAAGUUUA